AAUGCCGGAUGCUCCAGUUGAUCGCAUGGUCUUCUGGGAAAGCUUUCGCGGUAUGGGAUGGGGUCGCGUCCUAUCAGCUUGACGGCGGGGUAACGGCCCACCGUGGCUUCGACGGGUAGCCGGCCUGAGAGGGCGACCGGCCACAUUGGGACUGAGAUACGGCCCAGACUCCUACGGGAGGCAGCAGUGGGGAAUAUUGCACAAUGGGCGCAAGCCUGAUGCAGCGACGCCGCGUGAGGGAUGGAGGCCUUCGGGUUGUAAACCUCUUUUAUCGGGGAGCAAGCGAGAGUGAGUUUACCCGUUGAAUAAGCACCGGCUAACUACGUGCCAGCAGCCGCGGUAAUACGUAGGGUGCAAGCGUUAUCCGGAAUUAUUGGGCGUAAAGGGCUCGUAGGCGGUUCGUCGCGUCCGGUGUGAAAGUCCAUCGCUUAACGGUGGAUCCGCGCCGGGUACGGGCGGGCUUGAGUGCGGUAGGGGAAACUGGAAUUCCCGGGGUACG
rnacentral:rRNA from 1 species